UGAGAAAUUCAUAGAACUACCUGGCAGAAAAGGAAGGGUGAUAUUGCCUCCCAGGGAACAUUUGGCAACGUCUGAAGAUAUUUUUCACUGUCACAACCGAGGGGGUAUGCUAUUGGCAUCCAGUAGGUAGAGGUCAAGGAUGCUGAUAAGCAUCUACAAUGUCCCAAACAGUCCCUACAACAAAAAAUUAUCUGGCCCCAAAUAUGAAUAGUGCCAAGGUUGGGAAACCCUUCUUCAUACCUAUUCACAAUCCAUGGAACACUUUAUGUACUGCUGUCUUAGUCCCUAAUCAGAAAUUAUCAGGUAAAAUGCUCACUAGAAUUAAUCCUACUUCCAGAAGAGUUCUCAAAAGAGAAACCUAUAUACUCAACUCUGAUGCUCAAGUCUGACCAAUCCCUAGAUACUGCUGACCUAUUCAUAUAUUCAUAUUCUAUCACUGAUAUGGGAAGCUCUGUUUGAAACAUAAACUUAAAAAGGAAUCUCUAUAUAUGAACUAUCAGUGCUAUCAGACAAUGCUAACAUUAUGAACAUGAUGAGGAUAUAACCCUUGUUUUCUUAGAAAUGCCCACCCACAUUUAUGCUGUUUUUAGUUUAUUACUCUUGUCAAAGUUGCCAUGCAGAAUGUCUGUUGGUCAGUUGGGCACAUCUGCACACAUUUACAAUAUCUGCCACCUCUUUUAACCCUCAACCCCGCCCCACAAAAUGAGUGAUGGUGCUUGUUGAUUUGCAGAUUCACAGUCUGGUGAGACAAGUUUGAGAUCUCAUAUUUUCAGCUCAUCCUUGAAAACCUUUCUUCGAUUUGACUGACCUUGAUGGCUCCCUGGAAUCUCACCUACAUUUUAUGGGAAAUUCAACUCUCCAGAGAGAAGAGCUUUCAGAUAGCUGCGGGACUUGCAACUGUGACUUUCAGCUUUCGCUUUUGAAUGAGGCUCCAAAUGUCUCAAUGGUGGCACUAUUUCCAGAUUUGGGAGCCCUGCAAAGCUAAUCUGCUCAACCUUCACCUACUGGGUUCAAUGAAUAUGAAAAGCUGCCUUCCUGAAACUUUUCCUU
rnacentral:lncRNA from 1 species